GGAAAACUCACCAGGUCCAGACAUAGGAAGGAUUGACAGAUUGAGAGCUCUUUCUUGAUUCUGUGGGUGGUGGACGUGGUGCAUGGCUGUUCUUAGUUGGUUGAGUGAUUUGUCUUGUUAAUUCCGAUAACGAAUGAGACUCUCUCCUGCUAAAUAUUGUCUGCUUCUCUGUUGAGCAGACAAUUCUUCUUAGAGGGACUGGCGACUCUUAUUCGCACAAGAUUGAGCAAUAA
rnacentral:rRNA from 1 species